rnacentral:lncRNA from 1 species
UAGGAUGUGUUAUGUUGUUUGAUACCUUCCAUUAUGCAAUCUUGAUUGAAAUGUGUUCCUGUUUGGAACUUCGCACAUUGUAUUGAUUGCUAUGCCUUGAACGUACAGGGGAGACUCUGUCCGCAGUACAGGGGAAACCCUGUCCGUUCGGCAAUCUGUUGGCGGCGCCGCGACCCGGCCAAAUAGGCGGGCGGUCGCGGAGCGUGACAGAUAAGAUGGUAUCAGAGCAUAAAAAGAACAUAAAAAGAAUAAUAGAAAAUGGUUUAGUUGGACCUAGGAGACCCUAGGAUUGUAAACCUUAGGAGAUUAAGGCUCGUGAGAGACGAGGACUUGUUUCUUUUGGCGAAAGGUUAAUUGAUUGGGUUGUGUCAUAAACCUCUAAAACGGAUAUUAGAGGUAGACUUAAGGUUAGGCUUAUUCUCAACAGAGGGUGUUCAUGUUGGGUGCACACAACAUGAAGCCGAGUGAUGAGAGUAGACGCCUUUGCGUGACUUUCGCCCGAUUUGAGUCGGUAUUAGGUGUCUUGUGUUCGACCUAGAAGGUCGAGGAUUAAUAGAGUUGUCGCGUCUUAGGAAGCGAUAGUACCGCGUAGGCGAUCUUUGUUUAGAUCGGCGCGGGAUGGGUCGAGCGGUGUCCCUGGGCAAGUUGAGGCGAGCGGAGACUUGGAACUUCGCGAGUUUUGGCGGCCCUUGUGACCUUUGAGAAAUUAAUGGAAUCCUCAUCGUGUUAGAUCACUUUUGGGUCAAAUUGACCAAAGUGCGUCGAGAGAAGUAGUUGGACAAAGUCCAAUUGACAUUCUAACAAUGUUGGAAGGGUUAGAAUUGAGUUCUAAAAGAGUUAGAAGGGUUUUAGUGUUGCUCGGCACGAAUCGGAGUCGAAGCGAUGCAAAACCGAAAUUCUGGAACAUGUGUUACCGGUUUGACACUAGGGGUGUACCGGUACAGUGUGGUUGUAACGAAGUGAAUUCUCGAGAGCCGAGAGUUGGACUUCGUUUAGGAUCGGCUAGUUGUCGAGCGGGUAUGUAAUAUACCGAAACUUCGGUAAGCGAACAUCGAACCUUGGUCAAAUUGACCAAAUAGCGAGGUUGGUACGCUUUGGAAAGGCCGAAGGCGUCAAAUAAUGCAAAAGUGCAUUACUGGGGAUUUUCGAGAGCCUUGAAAAUGAAAAUCUGCAAACUGCAGGUUUUCUGUUCUCGGAGACCGGUCCCUGUGGGGAGAGACCGGUCCCCGAACGCGCAGGC